GAUGUAUUAUAUACCUCAAGGGCCUUAGGCUAAGUAAUUGAAUCUUCCAUGCCUCUCCAUUUUGGAAACUUCCUUCUGGAUUGGUGGAUAGAGAAAGAACUUUGAAAGCCAGGGGUCUUCAAAAUCUGCCACCACCAAGCUGAGCUCAAAGCGUUUAAUGAGGAUUUAAAAGCAGCCAUGUCUCGUUUCAGCUGGAGGAACAUCAAACCACCAUCUGGUAGGUGCUGGAGACAUCUGACAGUGACAGGUGGACAGCUGCACAAAUCACCUACUCUGGACACGUGAGCCUUCAGGAAGUGUUAUAAAUAGGCUGUGAGGCAGCUUCAGUUACCAGUGACUACGUAGUGUGAAUUUCUUCAAAUCAUAAUCUUAUCAAAUUGA
ensembl:lncRNA